CGACGCCUGGGGGUAGGCCAUUACCCCACCAACAAGCUGAUAGGCCGCGAGCUCAUCCUGCACCGAAAAACUUUCCACCACCGACACUAAACGAUGGUCCUAUCCGGUAUUAGACCCAGUUUCCCAGGCUUAUCCCGAAGUGCAGGGCAGAUCACCCACGUGUUACUCACCCGUUCGCCACUCGAGUACCCUGCAAGCAGGGCCUUUCCGUUCGACUUGCAUGUGUUAAGCACGCCGCCAGCGUUCGUC
rnacentral:rRNA from 1 species